UGGCCGUUCUGUUUCUGUGUGUCAUGGUCUCUGCUUCGUCCAUAAUCUUUGUUCAGAAUUUUUAAAGGUUGUCUUGGUGAAUCCUAAAUAGUAUGUAUUUAUGUAACAACUACAUUCAUCUUUGUAUGUUUACAUGCGCAGUAAUUACAUCCUUCAAAAUGAUCACAGUAUACAAAUACAGGCAACGAGAUAGAAUCUGGUUUGGAGAUGGUUUACAAUGGUUAUCUGCUACGCAGGUGUACGUGCUGUAAGCAUUUCAAGUCUUCUCUCAGUUGCUUUAUGGAUAAUAUUGAAAGUGAAUAUUUUUAAAGUGCUAUGAGAUGGAAGCAAGCCCACAGUUAUUCAGUAUAGUUUAAAUAUGUUGUGUAUAUUUUAUGCAAAUUCUACAAAAUUUUAUGUCUGAGAAUGAUAUUCUGGUGAUGCUUUCGAAGCCAAAAUGUUAACAUGUGCCAGUCAUGUGUACAAACUGGACUUAUUAGCCUGCAUUGUGAGGGCGAUUACUUAUGUAACAGAGCAGGAGCUUCAGGGGUAAGUUCUCCCCAGCUCCAAUCAGGAACAAGACAAGGGUACAUGUGGUCCUGACCUAGUGCAGCAGGGAACGAGGAUCGGGACACUGAGAUCUGGAAGGAAAGCUCUCUUAGCAGCGCCACUGACUAGAGGUGUAAUUCCCAGAGCCCGAGUCCCAGGCACAGCAGGUUUUUACUUUAAUACAUAAGGAAGUUUGGGGUCCAUCAAAGCAGGGAGUCUGCAGUUCUAUUGGAGAUGCAUUCUACAUUCCUUACAUGGGUACAAGUUUGCAGCAGCUGAGGGACUUUUCACUGCACCACGCCUAAAGGGGGCCCGUCUGUCCCUGCCACUUUGUCUCCUGUUUCUGCUCCUGUGGUUACCUGUCACAGUGCCCACGGCUGCUGCAGGCCUGGGGUGAAGUGUCGGAAGCAGAGCUGCUGUGUGGCAGCCUCCAGAGCUGUUAGCCUGGGGGUUGGCCUGCCAGCUCCUGUGCUCCUAAGCUUUCCCUUCUGAUCCCCACACUAACCGGGGGUGUGCUUUGGAGACCAGCAUUGCUACUGCCCCCCCACAGAUGAACCUUAGUCCAAAAAGCGUUGUUUUCAUUUAUUAGUUACUAACAUUUUUAAAUGGGGAGAUUUUUUGUUUUGUUUUGUUUGGUACUAGGAAUUGAACCCAGGGGUGCUUAACCACCGAGCCAAAUCCCCACCCCAUUUUUAUAUUUCACUAGAGACAGGGUCUCAUUGAAUUGCUAAGGCUGGCUUUGAUCUUGGGGUCCUCCUGCCUCAGCCUCCCAAGCUGCUGGGAUUACAGACGUGUGUCCCCAUACCCGGCUAAAAUAGGGAGCUUUGACCUACAAGUUUAUAUUUCUGGGUUGUUCAUUUUUAUUUGGGUUUUUUGUUGUUUUUCACUUUUUGCAUUUUAAGUAAACUUAAUGGUGGUAGUUGCUAAUUCUAUAAGAAUGUGGCUAAGCAAGUAUUCCAGUAAAAUUGGGAGCUGGAACUUCAGCUUAAACUUUCCUAAAUGAGGAGCGAGUUAUGAGCUGAUCCCAUGGGACUCAUGGCAGUUGGAUGACAGAGGGAAAGGGCCUCUCGCGUGUGCAGGAACUCCCUGGUGUUCAGGCACUCCUGGACCAGCACUCACAGAACAACUUUGAUAAGUCCUACCCCACCUUCUCUGUCCGAGUCCGACGCCAGAAUAAGAGCAUCCCAAGAAGGUGCCGGGUAGCCACAGCACUCUCCUGAGGGCUGACUGCUGGCCCUCUUCUGUCCUCUUGUCUGUGCCCCCUAGCACCAGCUUCUGCCAGCCAGUCUGGGCCUUCCAUAUAUUGAUUCCUAACUUAUUUUUUAUGUUGAGUGCAUUGCUUGAGGUAUCACAGAAGGACACAGCUCAUGUCUGGCAACUGUAAAGUGUUACUGCAUUCUGCGUACAGCAUUUCUGCUAAUAAAAUUCUUAUUAAGUAAAAUUAAUGUUUUAUGUUACCCAUGGAUCUAUGGUGUAUUGUUAACAGGUAGGUAAAAUUUUUUUACAUUUGAGGAAGUUUUUAGGGCAAAGUUUAUGUGACCUGAAAAUACUUUUUAUUUCCGUUGCUUUAAAAGCAGAAGAAGGUGGACACAGUGGCACACUGUAAACCCAGCAGCUCAGGAGGCUGAGGCAGGAAGAUCACAGUUUCAAAACCAUCCUCAGCAACUUAGCAAUGCCCUAAGAACUUAGUGUAACCUUGUCUCAAAAUAAAAAGGGUUGGGGAUGUUGGCCCAGUGGUUAAGAGCCCCUGGGCUCGCUCCCUGGUACCAAUACAGACAGACAGACAUGGGUAUGAACAACAGGUGCCUGAUACUUAGUACUUCCCCUGCAGCAGUUUUUAGAAACACACUGACUGUGCUACAGACUUUACCAGCAGGCUCAGCUUCCGGCCAGGUCUCCCUUAGAACAUGCUGGGCUGAUUGCUUGCAUGUUGACCAAGUUUGUUUUGUCCACCCUUCCCCUGUCCUUCCCUUCAGAGCCACACCUUCUGUUUCAGGGAACCUUUGUCGGCCUGACGUGGACUAAGCUCAGCUACUUCACAAGGCCUUGUACACAUGGUGAGACGUUUCCAUUCCCGCCGUGGUUGAUGGAGGGUCACAGACUGGGGUGUGGGCACAGUGCCUUCUGUCCAUUCACCCAUGGGGGUCAUUUGGAUUGUCUGGUUUUUGUCUUUUAUGGUUGAUGCUCUGAACAUUCGUGCACAGGUUCCACAGUAUUCUGCCUCGCCUCUCCCUGGGGACUGUUCGUGCUGAGCACCUUGUAGCGCACUCUGCGUGUCCCCUGCCACUCAGGCCUGCGACGUGUUCCUGUGGCUGGACCCCUUGGUGUGCUCCAGACACUGAGCUGCACACCCUUGCUUUCAGUUACAUGUGGUGCCCUUGACGGUCUUGUCUUUGGUUUGGUGCUUUUGUCUUGUCUGAGAAGCCUCUUAUAUGGGUACAUGUCAGGUACACGGGUACAUCUCCUGUGUGUUCUCCUAACAGCUUUGUCCUUUUGGCUCUUGCCUUUGGCUUUGGAGUUAGUUUUUAUAGACUGUUACUGUUGGGGCCCUGAAGUUCUUCACACCCUUGUUGAAAAUAAGUUGACCAUAAACAGGACUCUGACUUCCCCUCUGCUGAGCACUUCGUCUAACUUAUGCCAGUGCAAGAAUGUCUUGAUUGUGGUGGCUUUGUAGUGAGGUGUGCAUGUGUGUGAAUUAGUGGCAAAUGGUAGUAAAACCCCAGGCCUCAAGAGCAAGGGGGCAGUGGAAGGUCAUCAGUCGACUUGAAUACGCAGUAAUUCUUCUUUAUUUAUGUCUCUUUCAGAUGUAUUAUACUAUAGGUUGCUACCCAUUUGUUCAGAUUCCAGAUGUCACUACUUUUAUAAUAACACAGAUUUUAGGCAUUAUUCAGGUUUAGUAACUGGGCUCCAGCUGACCUCACUGUGACACUCCCAGAAACAAAAUCUCUCUCUAGGCUUACCCUUAGGGUAGUAACAAAUUUCGGCUGUUAAAGAAAAGAGGUUUAUUUAGCUCACACUUCAAGAGGCUCCAUGGUAUGAUGCUGGCAUUGGCUUGACUCUGGUAGAAGCUCACAGCAGAUGGCAUCACAGUGGCUGAGAGCACGUGUGGGAACAAGAGCUCACUUAGCACGACAGGCAGCCAGAAUGAUCAGGGGGCAGGUGCCGCAGGGGCAGUGUUACGCCCUCCUGCGGACGUCCCCAGUGUCACCAAAUGCCCAUCCGUCCCACCACCCAUCAGCACAAACUGAUGGGGGACACACCACACUCAAGCCACUCAGGCUCCCUCUGUAGCUGGAGCCGUGCACUGGCCUUGGGGUCUCUGCUGGGUACCGCUGGAAGCCGCCCUCUCUCAACAACACAGAGAUCUGUAAAUGCUGUCUGUAGUGUUUUCAGUGAAGAUGAGCCCAGAAGCCUCUAAAUCAUCAGCAGCGAAGAGAGGAAGAGGGAGUGAGAGUGGAGUGAGCCUCAGUUUUGCAGACUGACCUGACGUGCGCCUACCCCCCGCCGCCACCCCACCCCCGUGCCUAGUGGUUCUCCCCUGCCACAGGGACAGAAGAUAGGGUUAGGGUCACAGAGUUGUUCUUCCUAAAUAUAUAAGUCAUCCCAUUUUGAUUAGUGUAGAGACUGAUUGUUAUGUAAGUCUGAUGAGGAGAGGGACCUGGUUUUUCCCUCUCUGUUUAUUGAUAUGCUGCUCAUAAUUUGAGCUGUUGCAAAGGCGGCGCUCAUGGGACAGCAGUAUUGUAGAUUGGGGACAGGUGACAGAUUGCUCAUAACACCCUCUUGUGGAAUGUGUAUAACAUGCUUAAAGCAGGUUCCAGGGAGGAGAGUUUGUGAGCUAAACCUCACUCCCAGAAAUGAAGAUCACAUAAGUUACAUUUCAGUAACAUUGUUUAAAAUAAUGGAGUUUAGGCAAAACCAAUAACAAUCCUAUAGUUAUUUCUCUGAUCAAAGAUAUUGGAAGAAGGCACAAAGAUAUGGGAAGACCUCAUGUAUUCGUGAAUUCGGAGAAUUGAUAUUGUUAAAAUGUCCUUAGUACGCAAAGCAAUUUACAGACUCAAUGAAAUCCCCAUCAAAACACCAAGGACACACAGAAGACCCAGUCGCCAAAGCUAUCUUGAACAAAAAGAACAAAGCUGAGGCUCCACAAGACCUGAUUUCAAGACGUGGUUGAGUGCCACACUGACCAAAACAGCAUGGCACUGGCAGAAAAGCAGGCACACGGCACAGUGGGACAGACUGGGGACCCCAGAAUAACCCGCCAUCUACAGCCAAGUGAUUCCCAACACAGAUGUCAGAAACACUGGAGGAAGGACAGCGUCUUCAACAGAUGUGCUGGGAAAAGGCGACACCCACAUGCCGAAGAACGACCUUGUCCACGCUCUCUCACCCUGUAUGAAAAUCAGCGCAGAGUGGAUCAGGGGCUGCAGGUGGUGGUGCACGCCUGUGAUCCUAGAGAAGAGGCUGAGGCAUCUCGUGUUCAAGGCCCGUCUCAGCUACUUAGCAAGAUGCCGACUCAAAAUAAAAAAAUAAAAAGGGCUGGUGGGGAUGUAGCUCAGUGAUUAAGCACCCUUGGGUUCAAUCCCUGGUACCCCAUGCCCCCUCAAAAAAAGUGGAUCAAUGACCCAAAUUUAAGACCUGAAGCUAUAAAAUUUUCAGAAGGAAAUGAGAGAGAACACUUCAGGAUAUUGGCAUAGGCAGUGAUAUUUUUAUAGAAUCCCCAAAGCUCAGGUAACACAGUAAAAAUACAUAAAUAGGAUUCUGUUCAAUAAAAAAACUUGUGCACAGCAAAGGAGACAAUCCACAGAGUGAAGAGACAACCACUGAAUGGGAAAAUCACCUGCCGGCUAUUCACCUGAUGGGUUAGUAUCCAGAACACGUAAGCCUCUCAGAAAACAACUACCAUUACAAAAUCGAUUUUGGGGGGUGGCUACAGGGGAUUGAACUCAGGGGCACUCCACCACUGAGCCACAUCCUCAGCCGUGUUUUGUGUUUUAUUGACAGGUCUCACUGCGUUGCUUAGCGCCUGGUUUUUGCUAGGGCUGGCUUUGAACUUGGGAUCCUCCUGCCUCGGCCUCUCGAGCUGCUGGGAUUACAGGCAUGCCGCACUACUCCCGGCACAGAAUCAAUUUUGUUUUGUUUUUUGCCCUUCUCAAUGCUUUAUUCACUCAAAUCACUCAAUACAAUUUCACUCUGUAGGUUCUUAAUCAAGAAAACGACAAUUCUUAAUUCUAGGGCAAAUGAUCUGAAGAGACGCUUCUCAAGAAAAGACAUACAAAAAGCCAACAAUUAUCUGAAAAAAAUGCUCAGUAUCAUUAGCCAUCAGGGAAACACAGAUUAAAACCACAAGGAAAUGAUUUCACCUCAAUUAGGCUAUCUGUUAUCAAAAAGAAAAAAGUAACCUGGUGAAAACGUAAAGACACGGGCACUCGGGCUGGGGACACGGCCCAGCUGGUGAGCACCAGCCUCACGUGCACAGGCCUGGUUCAAUCCCUAGCACCUCAGAAAGUAAGUGGACGAAUGAGUCACAAAUGAGAAAAGGGAGCUCCCGCACCCUGUUGGUGGGAACGUAAACUGGACCUUUAUGGAGAACACGACGGAGGCUCCUCAAGAAACUGAAAACAGGUUCUGGUGUGUAUCCAAGACCACAGAACUGGCCCAGACGCCUGAAGGUCCACCGCAGCCAAGGCCUAGACUGGACCUGGGUGCCCACCGGCAGAGGAGGGACAAAGGAAAUGGAGCACAGGUACACUCGGGCGGAUCAUUCAGCUCUAAGAAGUAGGGCUGGCUGGGCACAGUGGCGCACAACUGUAAUCCCAGCAGCUUGGGAGGCUGAGGCAGGAGGACUGCGAGUUCAAAGCCAGCCUCAGCCCUUAGCAAUUCAGCAAACCCUGUCUCUAAAUAAAAUAUAAAAAAGGGCUGGGGAUGUGGCUCAGUGGGUUCAAUCCUCAAUACCAAAAAAAUAAAAUAAAAUAAAGAUUGUGUUCACCUAUAACUAAAAAAUAAAUUAUUAAAAAAAAAGGACUGAAGGACAGCCUGUCAAGUAAACAAGCCAGACAGACACCGGAGCCUGUCCUCUCCCAGGUGGAUGCUGGAAGAAGCCAGCCUGGGUGUCCAGCAGUGAGGACGAGAGGCUGUGAAGGGGUGGAGGGUGAUGAAGGGCAGCUAGCUGGGUGGUUCAGCGUGCACAUUGCACAUGGGUAUUAAAAUGUCUCACUGAACCCCGCUGAUGUGUGUGAUUGAUAAAAAGUGAAAGUAAUUCUUAAAAACAAUACUUAUUUGAGGAUGGCAAUUAAUUAUAGUUCCACAUAUUUAAGCUAUUUCUUACAUAGCUUUCUGAAUGGAAAUUCCUAAAGAGGUACUAUUUUCUCACACAAGUGUCAUCUGAUUGCAAACGGUUAACUUUGUAUCAACAUGCUAAGAUUGUCCAGGUCUAAGUAGACAGUGUAGCACUAAUAGUGUGGUACCUGGACACUAAAUCUUCAAGAGAGGAAAACUGCAUAUUGAUUGAUAUUGGUAUUUAUUGGGUCAUAAUGUAUUUAAAUUUUCUUUAAUGCAUAUGUUAGUGAUUGUUUACUGUGAUAAAGUGCAAAGAGGUCUUCAAGAGUGAUCUUGUGUGGGAAGAAUUGCCUUGUGUCACUGGUCACUUUUCAGUUAAAAGUUCCAUUAGCAGAUGGUUCUUGCUUCUGGGGUGGGUCACAACUGCACUCCAUCGCCUGUAAAUCAGCCUCCUGGUGGGGAAUAAAUAAACAGCUCAAGGAUGUGGUAAUGUUGUGUGAACUUCCCUACAGUAGAAGCACCGGGGUCCAUUUAAGCCAAUGAAGUUCAGAAUAUUUAUUGAAGACAAUUCUUUAUCAUAUUUGAAUUCUAUCUGAAAAUAGCUCUUUUUUUCUUGCUGAAGAAUAUUGAUUUAAUUGGAACAGAAUGUCUAUAAAUCAAUAAUAUCUUGGUCAUAUAUUUGAAAAUUUUAAUUAGAUCGUAUAACUUCAGCAUGGCUUAUAAUUGUGUAUUUCAGUGGAAUUCAGCACGCUUUUAAUGAAUCGUAGAUUGUUGUAUUGGCGAUUAACAGUUGAUGUUACCCUUACUGAGAGCUGGGAAGAUUUAUCUCGUGUGUGAUUAGAGCCCCUUAAUAAAAUGCCACUGUGCUUCCUGAGGCUUCACUCUGCAGGUCCAGGUGGCUUCUGGUACCCCAGUGUCCUUGAGCCCUGAGCUGCUCUUCCCAGCUGUCACCACCUGGGGCUUCUCCUCUGGCGGCUGGCAGGUCCUGUGGGCUUAGCAGCUGCCAGUUAGAGUGAAGGCGCCUGCUUUGUUGUCAGCACCCUUUGCAGGCAGCCUCCUGAGCCCCAGCUGCCCACAGUGUGUUUGCUCUUGAGUUAUGUUUCUGUUUCUGGAAGCAUAAAAGUCAAAGAGAAUGAUACUUCACAGAAUGAAGAAUAAACCUGUUCCUCCUGAGUGUCACACCUGCUUUUAUUUACAUUUUUAACCAUUCUGCUGUGGUGGGGAGGGAACUCUGGACCUCUCACAUGCUAGGCAAGCAGUCCCCAGCUGAGCCACCCCCCCAGCUUUGUAGCAGACUAAUAAUCCCAGUUUUCAUUGCCUCUGUUGUAAACAGAGUACUACUCACAGUUCUAAAGUCAAGAUCAUAGUUUCCUAUGAACAUUCAUUUCCUCCUUUUGCAUUUAACCUUGAAAUAAAAAUGACUCGGAUUACAUAGUAAAAAAGACAGGUGUGUACCGGAAUCCAGGGUUCCGAUCCCCUGCAGAGUACUCUCAUUGUAGUCUUAGCCAUUCACGUAUUCCCACAGUCCUCCUGCCCUUGCACGAGAUGGGUCUUGGUCACUCGUGGUGUGCCCUGCCCUUUGUUUUUUUAAGCACUGUUCAUCAAGGAUGCUUUUCUUUUUCUGAGCCGUGGUUGGCUGUCCCUGUGGGAAUGGGGGGUGAGGGGCGGACACCAGUGACGCUUGUCAAGACGACCUCCUUUGGAGGAGGCUCAGGGUGGUCAUGGCAGGUGAAGAACUGAACUGCAACAGCAGGUGACCAGGGUGGAACAGGGGUGGCAAGAACCGAGCAGCGAGGACAGGAUCACAAGAAUGUGUUGGAGAAAACAACUCGGCAUUAUCAGAAUAAAAAUGACUACACCUCUGGGGGUGCCAGCAGGCAGCUGAGAGGAGAAUGUCCGUAAGUCAGACGUGAGCGGAGGAACUGUCCUCUGGAACAUACCGAGGCUCCAGCCCAGAAAGACAGACAGCGAGUCGGAAACGGGCGGAAGAGCCAGAGGGUUGGCAUACCCCUUCACAGCCACCAUCAGGCCUCUGCCAGAACCGCUGGUGGGUGCUGCAGAAACCAGAGGAAGCCCAGCAGGCAGACAUGGCCCUGCUGGGGCGUGGCUGAGCAGAGUGGUACUGCCCACCCCUGGAGGACCGCUCCAAGCCAGCCGAGGAGGUUUCACCGUGUGGGCCGACUCCUGUGCUUCCAGCAGGGACAGGAAGCCGUGAGAGGCCAGCCUUGCACCGCCCACCCUCCCAGCAUUCCCUGUGGGUUUUCUGAAGGAAGAGGAGAGAUACCGCUGGCAUGGCUAUUAUCAGAACCAUGGUUGGCUCCUGGUCCUGGCAGCUGGGGUGAGACUACCGGAGUAGGCAGCCCCAACAGUCUAGACAGCAGGGCCAGCCAGGCUCAAUGCCUUUCUGGAAAACCAGAGUCUCAAAGAAGAUGCAGGCGCCUGCCUCCUGGGGCCUUGGGAGCCUCCCACAGGAGGGGGCCAUCCUGGGAAAGGCGGGGUUUCCACAUUUCCAAGGUAACCGAGUUGCUCCUGCCUCAUGCAGCAGAAGCCAGCUCUGGCCAUUUGCUGGGCUGUGAGUGAGCAGCCGUCCAUCUCUGCUGACUCGAGCAAACCUGAACUGUGCUCAGCAUUGGGUGUGGCAGGGUUCAGUGGGUGGGAGCCCAUCCAGCCUCAGGCAGCAUGGCGACCUCCAGGUGAUGGUCCUGCCCGUGAGAUGCCAGAACACCACAGGGAGCACAGGUGUGGGUGUGAGCCUGGGGGUAGCUGUGUGGACAAGUGUUACAGGACUUGACAGUGUAGACUGGUGCCUGGAAGAGGAUCGUGGUCGGCCAGGGCCUGAAGUGGGUCUUGCAGUGUACACAUUCCUGCAUAACCAGAAAGGUCAAGUGAGGAGAGGAGGACUCGCAGGCCAGUUCACGGGUGCACAGUCCCCGUGCAAGGUGGGCCCUGGUGUGCAGUGGGCACUCGAUGCACGUCUGUCAGUGCGUGGGUGCCGUGGUUGUGCUGGGCCCUGUGUUGGAGGCGCAGCAUGUUCCUGCCAGGGAGCAGCCAGUCCAGAGGCCACGUUUCCUGUUCCCAGUGGCUGGUUCCAAAGCACACACGGUUAGAUGGUGUAUCCUUACCUUAUGUUUCUUUUUUUUUUU